rnacentral:tRNA from 1 species
GGGUUGUUAGCUCAGUUGGCAGAGCAGUUGACUCUUAAUCAAUUGGCCCGGGGUUCGAGCCCCCGACAACCCACCA